AUUGAACGCUGGCGGAAUGCUUUACACAUGCAAGUCGAACGGCAGCACGGGGGCAGCCCUGGUGGCGAGUGGCGAACGGGUGAGUAAUACAUCGGAACGUGCUCGGCCGUGGGGGAUAACGUAGCGAAAGAUACGCUAAUACCGCAUACGAUCUGCGGAUGAAAGCGGGGGACCUUCGGGCCUCGCGCGAUCGGAGCGGCCGAUGUCCGAUUAGGUAGUUGGUGGGGUAAAGGCCUACCAAGCCGACGAUCUGUAGCUGGUCUGAGAGGACGACCGGCCACACUGGGACUGAGACACGGCCCAGACUCCUACGGGAGGCAGCAGUGGGGAAUUUUGGACAAUGGGCGCAAGCCUGAUCCAGCCAUUCCGCGUGCAGGACGAAGGCCUUCGGGUUGUAAACUGCUUUUGUACGGAACGAAAAGGCUCUGGCUAAUACCUGGGGCUCAUGACGGUACCGUAAGAAUAAGCACCGGCUAACUACGUG
rnacentral:rRNA from 1 species